rnacentral:lncRNA from 1 species
CAACUAUGACCCAUGCUGACACUAUCACUUCUGCUACCAGCCCUGUGCGAUGACAUCAUCAGCCCUCAAGACAGUGAUGACAAAGGCUCUAGAAAUUCUGAAGCCUGCCCUGAGAAGGAGACUCAACUGGAGAAGCAGCAGGGCUGAAGAGGAGGCUUUCAGCAUCUGCUAGAAUUAAGUUGAUACAUUGCUGGAGGAUAGAACAGGACUGGAUUUUCCAAGAAGCCCCAUCAGCCCAGUAGGAAGAGUAUAGGAAAUAGAGAGUGAGAUUAUUUAGAGAGGAAUGAAAGUAACAAGGUGAAUGGUAGAACUUCACAGGGGCAAAAGAACUAUAAGGACUAGCUAAAGAGAAAUUCAAAUAAUUGAAGAUUAGGCAGAUAGGGAGACAAUUCAAAUCAGUAGGAAAAGUUGUGAAGAUCCAGGAUGAAAAAC